CACUUUGCAGUGGGCCACAGGACCGUGAAGGAUGACAGGAGCCAGUGAGAUCCGGAUACUCCUCCCUCCUUCGACCCAAGAGAACACAGCAGACAAUGCAAAGAGCCUUAAAGGCUUAGAAAACUGUAGCUAAGAGGCACUAAGGGAGAAGAGUUUAAUCCAGUUCCGAUGUUUAACAGAGAAAGAGUGAGGGGUUUUCAUGGGUCCAAUCUCAAGCAUUCUUUUGAGGAAGGAAAGGAACCAAAGUAGUGUAGCAUAACGCAGCCAGUCUGGAGGAGAAGGGAAAAGGGCGCGCAUCUCCGUGCCCAGGUGACAUAGGCGGCCUCCCCUGCCACUCCUUUGUCACCCCAAGCCAGCCAUGGCCCAGCUUCCUGGCCCUUCCCGUCCUCAUCUUCCCACGAAUUUCAUUUUGGAAGACUUGGUCAAACACACAAGCAACUGAUCCCUCAGAAGGCUUCUCUCUCCCCGGCUGGAAUCCACGACCCACAUGCCACACCUUAGGCUACUGGAUGACACCUUGAGUCAUGAACUGCAGGAUUUAAAACAGUGGCCUCCCGAGUGAAAAUCCAAACCCAAUAAAUCCAAACCCAAUAAACUGGGCACAGGAGCUGUGGUGAACACACGCAAUGCAACAUUACCCUGCCUUUACAGGAAGUAGGGUUCUGAUGCAUGCUACACGCUACACGGAGAAGCGCUGCAGACACUGUGCUAAAAUACUUAUUGGUCACCUGGCUCCUUGGAGGCACAACCCUGGAACAUGAGACUCAGGAGAAUGCACAGUCUGGAGAAAAAGGGGCCAUGGAGACGUAACGCUUUUCUCUAGCCCAGGAGGUCGGGAAGGGGCAUGGAAAGGAGCUUUAAGCCGAGCUCUGAAGAUGAGGAAGUGGACUCCGGGUGCCAGAGGCUCAGGGAGGAAACGCUGAGCAGGAGGAACGGCGUUGCCGGUGGGAAGCACCUGGAGCCCAUGGCGAUCGCUCUAGAAGCCAAUCUAAUCAAGACAAGAAAAUGAGAUGCCACAAGUAAAGCAAAAUAAACACAUUUGACUACAGCUCUAU